AGAAUCAACGCUGGCGGCGUGCCUAACACAUGCAAGUCGAGCGCGGUUACUGCUGCUUCGCAAGAAGUAGUGGUAACUGAGUGGCGAACGGGUGAGUAACACGUGGGUGACCUGCCUUCGAGUGGGGGAUAACAUCCCGAAAGGGGUGCUAAUACCGCAUGACAUCCUGCCUUUAAAGAGGUGGAGAUUAAAGCUGGGGAUCGUAAGACCUGGCGCUUGAAGAGGGGCCCGCGUCCGAUUAGCUAGUUGGUGGGGUAACGGCCUACCAAGGCGACGAUCGGUA
rnacentral:rRNA from 1 species